rnacentral:rRNA from 1 species
GAUGAGCGCUGGCGGCGUGCCUAAUACAUGCAAGUCGAGCGAACGGACGAGAAGCUUGCUUCUCUGAUGUUAGCGGCGGACGGGUGAGUAACACGUGGAUAACCUACCUAUAAGACUGGGAUAACUUCGGGAAACCGGAGCUAAUACCGGAUAAUAUUUUGAACCGCAUGGUUCAAAAGUGAAAGACGGUCUUGCUGUCACUUAUAGAUGGAUCCGCGCUGCAUUAGCUAGUUGGUAAGGUAACGGCUUACCAAGGCAACGAUGCAUAGCCGACCUGGGAGGGUGAUCGGCCACACUGGAGCUGAGACACGGUCCAGACUCCUACGGGAGGCAGCAGUAGGGAAUCUUCCGCAAUGGGCGAAAGCCUGACGGAGCAACGCCGCGUGAGUGAUGAAGGUCUUCGGAUCGUAAAACUCUGUUAUUAGGGAAGAACAUAUGUGUAAGUAACUGUGCACAUCUUGACGGUACCUAAUCAGAAAGCCACGGCUAACUACGUG